UAACUAUUGAGAAUAAUGAUAAUGAAGGACGUGAUGCAAGCUGUGGCAAAAGAAGAUUUCUAAUGGGAAGAUGAUUUGGGAUUUGUGAUUCUCUUGGGCUUCUAGAUCACAAUUGGUCAGGGUUUCUUUAAUUGGAACUGUAUAUUAGCUUGUCGAUUCGUGCAAAUUGGUGCAAUCUUCCAAUUCUUUGAUCUUGGUUUGAUCACGGUCAUGCAUGUUGGCUUGUCUUCACUCACGGCAUAGUGGUCUCUUUGUCUAGUUGAAUGUUGUUGCUUGAGUCAUAUGUUUCUUUUUGUAAGCUUGGUGUAGACGUUGUUUUCAUUUUUCUACUCUCAUCUAGUGUGUUGGACAUGUAUUUUCUUUGGGAGCUUCUAUUCAUACCUUCAAAAACGUUACUUGGACCUCAUUAUUAAUAGACAUCAAAUUCACUUUUAAAAAGAACUAAAAUUCUAUUUACAUGCACCUCUCUAAUUUUUCCAAAACGCCCAUAAUUCAAUAAAGUCAAUAAAAACAUUUUUCUUUUUAAAGAUUCUAUUCAUACCUCCAUAUUCGGUAGUUAGACCUUCGAUUUUUAGGCAUCUGACAAUCAUAUAUUACUUUCAAAAUCCAUUCAUAACAUGUUGCAAUCAAAUGACCCAUUUCUGGAAAAUACAUCCAGUAUUUUUUUCGGUGCAAAUCCAGAGACAGAAUAUUGAAAAUAAUAAACUAGUCGUCAAAAUGCUCCACUAUUCAUUUACAAUAC
rnacentral:lncRNA from 1 species